rnacentral:pre_miRNA from 1 species
AUAUGAAUCACCUGGGGAUCUUCUUAAAAUGCAGAUUCUGAUUUAGUAGGCUGGGGUAGGGUCUGAGACUCUGAAUUUUUAACAUGCUCCUAGGUAAGGCUGAU